AUUGCUUUUCGGCCUUUUGGCUAAGAUCAAGUGUAGGAUUUAUUCUUCCCUAAACUAGAUUUCCCACAAAUCUAUUUUUUCCUAAAAUCAAUUUCCAGAAAAAAUUGAUUAGGCUUUCUGAAAGACAGAAUGAGUUUACGACUGUUCGUGUUUCUUCUAGUGUUUGAGUGAAGAAUGAGCAACCAACU